ACUACGGGGGGCAGCAGUGGGGAAUAUUGCACAAUGGGCGCAAGCCUGAUGCAGCCAUGCCGCGUGUGUGAAGAAGGCCUUCGGGUUGUAAAGCACUUUCAGCGGGGAGGAAGGCGGUGAGGUUAAUAACCUCAUCGAUUGACGUUACCCGCAGAAGAAGCACCGGCUAACUCCGUGCCAGCAGCCGCGGUAAUACGGAGGGUGCAAGCGUUAAUCGGAAUUACUGGGCGUAAAGCGCACGCAGGCGGUCUGUCAAGUCGGAUGUGAAAUCCCCGGGCUCAACCUGGGAAUUGCAUUCGAAACUGGCAGGCUAGAGUCUUGUAGAGGGGGGUAGAAGUCCAGGUGUAGCGGUGAAAUGCGUAGAGAUCUGGAGGAAUACCGGUGGCGAAGGCGGCCCCCUGGACAAAGACUGACGCUCAGGUGCGAAAGCGUGGGGAGCAAACAGGAUUAGAUACCCGAGUAGUC
rnacentral:rRNA from 1 species